rnacentral:rRNA from 1 species
AGUCGAACGGCAGCGCGGGGCAACCUGGCGGCGAGUGGCGAACGGGUGAGUAAUAUAUCGGAACGUGCCCUGGAGUGGGGGAUAACGCAGCGAAAGUUGCGCUAAUACCGCAUACGAUCUAAGGAUGAAAGUGGGGGCUUCGCAAGAACCUCAUGCUCCUGGAGCGGCCGAUAUCUGAUUAGCUAGUUGGUGGGGUAAAGGCCUACCAAGGCAUCGAUCAGUAGCUGGUCUGAGAGGACGACCAGCCACACUGGAACUGAGACACGGUCCAGACUCCUACGGGAGGCAGCAGUGGGGAAUUUUGGACAAUGGGCGCAAGCCUGAUCCAGCAAUGCCGCGUGAGUGAAGAAGGCCUUCGGGUUGUAAAGCUCUUUUGUCAGGGAAGAAACGGUGUGGGCUAAUAUCCCGCACUAAUGACGGUACCUGAAGAAUAAGCACCGGCUAACUACGUGCCAGCAGCCGCGGUAAUACGUAGGGUGCAAGCGUUAAUCGGAAUUACUGGGCGUAAAGCGUGCGCAGGCGGUUUUGUAAGUUUGUCGUGAAAUCCCCGGGCUCAGCCUGGGAAUGGCGAUGAAGACUGCAAGGCUAGAACCUGGCAGAGGGGGGUAGAAUUCCACGUGUAGCAGUGAAAUGCGUAGAGAUGUGGAGGAACACCGAUGGCGAAGGCAGCCCCCUGGGUCAAGAUUGACGCUCAUGCACGAAAGCGUGGGGAGCAAACAGGAUUAGAUACCCUGGUAGUCCACGCCCUAAACGAUGUCUACUAGUUGUCGGGUUUUAAUUAACUUGGUAACGCAGCUAACGCGUGAAGUAGACCGCCUGGGGAGUACGGUCGCAAGAUUAAAACUCAAAUGAAUUGACGG